GAUGAACGCUAGCGAUAGGCCUAACACAUGCAAGUCGAGGGGCAUCACAUGAAGUAGCAAUACGGAUGGUGGCGACCGGCGCACGGGUGAGUAACACGUAUGCAACCUGCCUUCAACAAGGGGAUAACCCGUUGAAAGACGGACUAAUACCCUAUAACACAGGGGUCCCGCAUGGGAAUAUUUGUUAGAGGACAACCGGUUGAAGAUGGGCAUGCGUUCCAUUAGCUAGUUGGCGGGGUAACGGCCCACCAAGGCAACGAUGGAUAGGGGAACUGAGAGGUUUAUCCCCCACACUGGUACUUGAGACACGGACCAGACUCCUACGGGAGGCAGCAGUGAGGAAUAUUGGUCAAUGGACGCAAGUCUGAACCAGCCACGUCGCGUGAAGGAAGACGGCCCUACGGGUUGUAAACUUCUUUUAUACGGGAAUAAAGUGCCCCACGCGUGGGGUUUUGCAUGUACCGUAUGAAUAAGGAUCGGCUAACUCCGUGCCAGCAGCCGCGGUAAUUACGC
rnacentral:rRNA from 1 species